rnacentral:rRNA from 1 species
AGUGGCGGACGGGUGAGUAACGCGUGAGUAACCUGCCUUUCAGAGGGGGAUAACAGCCGGAAACGGUUGCUAAUACCGCAUGAUAUAUCGAAACCGCAUGGUAUUGAUAUCAAAGGAGUAAUCCGCUGAAAGAUGGACUCGCGUCCAAUUAGCUAGUUGGUGAGGUAAUGGCCCACCAAGGCGACGAUUGGUAGCCGGACUGAGAGGUUGAACGGCCACAUUGGGACUGAGACACGGCCCAGACUCCUACGGGAGGCAGCAGUGGGGAAUAUUGCACAAUGGGGGAAACCCUGAUGCAGCGACGCCGCGUGAGGGAAGAAGGUUUUCGGAUUGUAAACCUCUGUCCUUGGUGAAGAUAAUGACGGUAGCCAAGGAGGAAGCCACGGCUAACUACGUGCCAGCAGCCGCGGUAAUACGUAGGUGGUAAGCGUUGUCCGGAAUUACUGGGUGUAAAGGGAGCGUAGGCGGGAAUGUAAGUUGAAUGUUAAAUCUAUGGGCUUAACCCAUAUUCGCGUUCAAAACUACAUUUCUUGAGUGAAGUAGAGGUAGGCGGAAUUCCUAGUGUAGCGGUGAAAUGCGUAAAUAUUAGGAGGAACACCAGUGGCGAAGGCGGCCUGCUGGACAUUAACUGACGCUGAGGCGCGAAAGCGUGGGGAGCAAACAGGAUUAGAUACCCUGGUAGUCCACGCCGUAAACGAUGGAUACUAGGUGUGGGGGGUAUUGACCCCCUCCGUGCCGCAGUUAACACAAUAAGUAUCCCACCUGGGGAGUACGGCCGCAAGGUGAAA